rnacentral:lncRNA from 1 species
GUCGAAAAGGUACAUAUAUAAUUUAACCUUCAAAAUAUAAGUUAUACAGGUUCUCAAAGUGACCCGACAUCUCAAAGACUUAUUGUUUUAUAAUAUAAGGAAACAUCAAAGUUUUGCAGCGGAAUACAUAGCUAGUUAUAUGUAUGAAGACAUAUACUAGACAGGUGAACUUAUUAUUUAUUAACAACCCAGAGAUAUUCCGCUCAGCACAGCUCCAUCACCUCAUCAGCUCAACCUGCACAUUUAGAAAUACAUGCAGGGCUGAGUACAAAAGCACUCAGUGAAAACAUGCCGGAAACAUUUCAUGCUUAUAGAGCUAUAUAUAUUGUCAUUGCCAUUUCAUGUGCAUAAUACAAGGAAUUUGUUUGAAAGCCCUGUAUUAGCUAAACUCAUUUUCAUUUCAUCAAAGUUGUCUGCGCAGACUUUUCUCAUCAAGUAAGUAUCAUAUCUGUUAUAACAUCAAGUACUGAGAGGGAGGCCUCCCUCUGCAGCACUGUGAUCGGCCAACCUGAAAGAUGACUCACGACCACCUCAGUGUACACAAAUCCUUACUAGUAUCUACACUAGCAUAGGACCGAAUUCUUCAUCUCAAGCAGAUAGAUAACAUACCAAAACAUCAAAUAAUUGGCAAUGCAAUAACUUCAAAAUAUAUUUGCAGUUCAAUCAUUGUAAAGAAAGUAAAUGCAUAAAAGCGUAGACAUCUUGAUUUUAGUGUAGGAAAGCCCACCUCGUUGCGUCCUUAAGUUAGUAGGCACGCGUCCCCUCCUUCCCUUGGACCGUUACUUCCCAAAUUGACCUUCAUUAAAUGAAGAAUCGGUGAGCCGAGAAGAAAAGGUCGGUUAAGAAAGGAGAGAUUUAUUCUAAUCGAUUAACCUCUUAUAAACCUUAUUAGAACCUUAGCAUCAA